ACAUUACUGAGAUAUGGAAUCAUAAUAUUUUCUCAAUGAUAUGAGUUUCUAGUACUCAAUAGGAUAUGAUGACAAUUAUCUUUAUACUACCUUCCUAACUUUUUAAAGCACUUUCAUUUUCCAUGCACACAAUAGUACUGGGCGGUGCUGAACUAGGGAAUAAAUGUUUGUGAUUAUUUUAUCAGUGAAAAAAGUGAGAAGCUACUUCAGCAGAUCAAGAAUUGGUCAAGGGUAUGGCUGCCACUGGGAGGCAGGUUUCCUGACUCCCAGCCAGUGCUUUUUCUCUUAUGACAUUGUGGUUACUGGUAAAUGUUUUCACUUGUCAUCUCCAUUUCUCACAUUCCUUUGUUAUGAGUUUUCUCCUAGGGUCUGGAUGGCAUGGUGCUCCUCUUAAGUGUGCUGGAAUUCUGCAUUGCUGUGUCCCUCUCUGCCUUUGGAUGUAAAGUGCUCUGUUGUACCCCUGGUGGGGUUGUGUUAAUUCUGCCAUCACAUUCUCACAUGGCAGAAACAGCAUCUCCCACACCACUUAAUGAGGUUUGAGGCCACCAAAAGAUCAACAGACAAAUGCUCCAGAAAUCUAUGCUGACUGUGACACAAGAGCCUCACAUGAGAAAUUACCAGAAUCCAACUUCGAUACUGAUAGACUUGUUGAUAUUAUUAUUAUAUGUAAUGCAAUUAUGAACUGUGUGUGUAUAGAGAGAUAAUAAAUUCAAAAUUAUGUUCUCA
rnacentral:sRNA from 1 species